UACGGGGGGGCAAGCGUUGUUCGGAAUUACUGGGCGUAAAGGGCUUGUAGGUGGCCAACUAAGUCAGACGUGAAAUCCCUCGGCUUAACCGGGGAACUGCGUCUGAUACUGGAUGGCUUGAGUGUGGGAGAGGGAUGCGGAAUUCCAGGUGUAGCGGUGAAAUGACGUAGAUAUCUGGAGGAACACCGGUGGCGAAGGCGGCAUCCUGGACCAUUACUGACACUGAAAAGCGAAAGCCAGGGGAGCAAACGGG
rnacentral:rRNA from 1 species